rnacentral:rRNA from 1 species
AUUGAACGCUGGCGGCAGGCUUAACACAUGCAAGUCGAACGAGUGGCGGACGGGUGAGUAAUGCAUGGGAAUCUAGCUUAUGGAGAGGGAUAACUACGCGAAACUGUAGCUAAUACCGCGUACCAUAGGAGGAGCCGAAGUGGGAUUAGGUAGUUGGUGAGGUAAAGGCUGACCAAGCCGACGAUCUCUAGCUGGUCUUAGAGGAUGACCAGCCACACUGGGACUGAGACACGGCCCAGACUCCUACGGGAGGCAGCAGUGGGGAAGAUUGUACAAUGGGUGAAAGCCUGAUCCAGCCAUGCCGCGUGUAUGAAGAAGGCCUUAGGGUUGUAAAGUACUUUCAGCGGGGAGGCGUUACCUGCAGAAGAAGCACCGGCUAACUCCGUGCCAGCAGCCGCGGUAAUUC